UACGGAGGAUCCGAGCGUUAUCCGGAUUUAUUGGGUUUAAAGGGUGCGUAGGUGGUUUGAUAAGUCAGCGGUGAAAGUUUGCAGCUUAACUGUAAAAAUGCCGUUGAAACUGUCGGACUUGAGUGUAAAUGAGGUAGGCGGAAUGCGUGGUGUAGCGGUGAAAUGCAUAGAUAUGACACAGAACUCCGAUUGCGAAGGCAGCUUACUAAGCUACAACUGACACUGAAGCACGAAAGCGUGGGGAUCAAACAGGAUUAGAUACCCUGGUAGUCCACGCAGUAAACGAUGAUUACUAGCUGUUUGCGAUACACAGUAAGCGGCACAGCGAAAGCGUUAAGUAAUCCACCUGGGGAGUACACCGGCAACGGUGAAACUCAAAGGAAUUGACGGGGGCCCGCACAAGCGGAGGAACAUGUGGUUUAAUUCGAUGAUACGCGAGGAACCUUACCCGGGUUUGAACGUAGGGAGACAGGAGUGGAAACAUUCUUUUCAGCAAUGACUGCCUACGAGGUGCUGCAUGGUUGUCGUCAGCUCGUGCCGUGAGGUGUCGGCUUAAGUGCCAUAACGAGCGCAACCCUUAUUUCCAGUUACUAACAGGUAAUGCUGAGGACUCUGGAGAGACUGCCAGCGUAAGCUGUGAGGAAGGUGGGGAUGACGUCAAAUCAGCACGGCCCUUACAUCCGGGGCGACACACGUGUUACAAUGGUAAGGACAAAGGGCAGCUACCGGGCGACCGGAUGCGAAUCUCUAAACCUUAUCUCAGUUCGGAUCGGAGUCUGCAACUCGACUCCGUGAAGCUGGAUUCGCUAGUAAUCGCGCAUCAGCCAUGGCGCGGUGAAUACGUUCCCGGGCCU
rnacentral:rRNA from 1 species